rnacentral:rRNA from 1 species
UAGGGAAUCUUCGGCAAUGGGGGGAACCCUGACCGAGCAACGCCGCGUGAGUGAAGAAGGUUUUCGGAUCGUAAAGCUCCGUUGUUAAGGAAGAACGAGUGUGAGAAUGGAAAGUUCAUGCUGUGACGGUACUUAACCAGAAAGGGACGGCUAACUACGUGCCAGCAGCCGCGGUAAUACGUAGGUCCCGAGCGUUGUCCGGAUUUAUUGGGCGUAAAGCGAGCGCAGGCGGUUAGAAAAGUCUGAAGUGAAAGGCAGUGGCUCAACCAUUGUAGGCUUUGGAAACUGUUUAACUUGAGUGCAGAGGGGGAGAGUGGAAUUCCAUGUGUAGCGGUGAAAUGCGUAGAUAUAUGGAGGAACACCGGUGACGAAAGCGGCUCUCUGGUCUGUAACUGACGCUGAGGCUCGAAGGCGUGGGAAGCGAACAGG